rnacentral:rRNA from 1 species
UACAGAGGUCUCAAGCGUUGUUCGGAUUCAUUGGGCGUAAGGGUGCGUAGGCGGCGCGGUAAGUCGGGUGUGAAAUCUUGGAGCUUAACUCCGAAACUGCAUUCGAUACUGCCGUGCUUGAGGACUGGAGAGGAGACUGGAAUUUACGGUGUAGCGGUGAAAUGCGUAGAUAUCGUAAGGAAGACCAGUGGCGAAGGCGGGUCUCUGGACAGUUCCUGACGCUGAGGCACGAAGGUCAGGGGAGCAAACGGG